rnacentral:tRNA from 1 species
GGUCUUUUAGUAUAAAGGUCGUACAGCUCCCCUUCAAGAAGCUAGUACCAGUUCGAUUCUG